ensembl:snoRNA
ACUGCCCCUAGAGGCACUGCAAGUGUGACUGACAUGUGUCACAUAUGUGUCAGUAGGUGGCAGAGAGGAGAUAGGCUAUGUCUAUGCUCAGUGUUCUGACCAGUGAACAUUUGAAUGACUGAAACUCCCCGA